AGAACUCAGAACUUACAUCAAAUGUUGAUAAGGUUAACAUCAUUUUCAACUGAAAAUCUCGCUGUUUAGGAAAUAUGCAGAUAAGAAGCUGGAUGAACCUGAUUCAUCACCUUCAAAUGCGCAGCGACCUCGAAGACUGUGGGCUCCCUAAGCUGGGCUGUGAUGGCUUUAGAUACUGAAGCUAAGCUUUUCUUUUUAACAAAGAGUCUAUCUCAGAAGAGCAGGAUAGAGAAACAGCAAAGCUCUUUCUGACAGUUUCUUUGGAAUAAUCCAAGUUCUAUUUCAGUGAGACAACGAUUGUGAGAUGAGAAUCCCAGAAUGGUCUUUGGAAAUCCUUUGAAACUGCAUAUAUACUUUCAACUAUUACAAUUAAAUUUUGAUUUAUAUGUUCAUA